AAGGGUGAGAUUUAAAGAUGCUUCAAGCUGCCAUUAGCCACAGAGGAGCAGGCCUAUUCCUGCAGCUCCGUUCUUGCUGCCAUAGAUAAAGCCGUGUCAGUGCUUCAGUUAUAAACCUCUGUUUCCAGGGGUUUACAGCCGGGCUGUAAAAAUGCACCGCACGUCGAAACUGGGCCCAUAAAGUCCUGACCUGGAAAUCCCAUUUUGCAUAUUUCUAUAUAAUCAUCUAUACCCGUAGCUACACACUUAAUGGACAUGCGAUGCAGGCUCAUGCAGGGACCAGGCUCUCAAACUCACGAUAAACAGGGACAAAUAUUUGGGUCAUUUUUAUGGGAGCACAAACCCCGGAGCUCACUGCUGCUAUUUGUGGCUGUGCUUUGGCGUUUCCUGGACGUGCCACUGUUACACGUUAGAUGGUCCUCUGUAUCCGAGAGGAAUGGGAGUGCAUUUUAGGUCCUGGAGGGGGCAUUUCUGUCUAAACCAUCCCCUCCCUCUGUGACGCGGCUGCACUCUCCAGCUUUCCAAGGAUGGCGGCAGCGAGGCCUCCUCUUCCACUUGCCCUCCCAGAACCGUGCCUGCUAGUCUCCAUCAAGACAGGGGCUCUGAUUUCGGUCCCCUGAAUCGGGGGGGGGCACUGACUCCAUUGUGGCCAAAGGGAUGUGGCCCCAGGGUCCUGCGUGACCUCUGAAGCGGGGCCAUAGAAGAGGAGCAGCUUCCACUUCUUCGAAACACUUGCUCUUGAGCCCUUGGGCUUCCGUGCGAGCCACUCCCAAUCCCUCGCCUGCCAGGCAACCAUUUUACUGUUUUAAGCCAAGAAGUUUUGGGGGCGAUUUGUGCUGCAGCAAAAGUAGCCAGAAUGUGGGGAAACAAGAAUUACUCAGGGGAGAGUUCCUAGCAGACCCAGAGACCCAUCAGAUAGAGCUGUUCCAGGCUUUUUCAUGGGUAAGAGGAGCAGCAACGUGUACCACAAGCCACUGGCCUGGGCGCCUGAAUUUGUCACCCAGCUCGCCCCUGGCCCGUGGUGGGACCCCAGGAAGUCCCUUGAUCUCUGUCCCCAAGCGGGUGGAUUGGACUCGCAUGAGGCAGACGGCUUCAUCAGGUGUGUCUGUCGAGGGUCACCCUGCCUCUUGCUGACGUGUCUGGGUGGGGAGGUCAAAAGAUCUGGGAAUUUUGGUAGGAAAUUCAGGCUACACAGCAAAGACGGGACUAUAGCUACAGCCACUGCCUUGCUCUCUGAGGUCUCGACUUCCCUCCUUGUCUCUUUUCAUGCAUCCGUCCGUCCAUUCGGGCAGUCCGUCAUUCGUUGAACGCCUGCUUAUGUCCAGCACUGUUCCGGGCAGCGGGGAACAGCCGAGAAGGAGGCAGGAAGGGUCCAGCUCUUACGGAGCUCACAUUUGAAUUGAGGAGGCACGAUAAACAACUCGGUAAUGAAAGAAACCAGAUGGUUCUAGAAAGAGCUGCUUUCUACAAAGGCGACAGAACUUGAGGAGACAUUGGCGACUGGCCAGGGAAGGAGUUUCUGACCCGGUGACUGUGCGCUGACCCCUGAGCAAAAAAAUGCAGAGUUGCGGCAAGAGUGUUCCACGCAGAGGCCACGGCAGGAGCGAAGGCCCUGAGGCUGGGAUGAUGCGGGUGUGUGACUGGAACCGAGUGAACCAGGGUGUCCCUGGCCUGGCCGGCUGGAGGGCAGGGUGUCGCAGGCCGUCAGCCUUUGAGCUUAACUCUAAGUGCAGACUGGAGCGCUUUUAGGAGUGGGUGGUGUGAUCUGAUUUCCGAAAGCAUCUGUGUCGUUUAUCCACGUGGUGGUUUUGAAGAGGGCCUGUCAGCACCGCCCUGGUUUGCUGGCCUGGGGUCAGGCUGCAGAGCUGCGGGGGGGACUGUGGGCCUGGAAGGGGAGGCGAGGGCUGAGCACGCAGGAGGAAGGCAGGCAAGAGGGGGCCUGGUUCAAGGCCCUGCACACACCGUGUGGGGAUGGAACACAGGCUGCCGGGGGUGGAGAGGCCGGGCAGGCGGGAAGACAUGCUGCAGACCGGGCAAGGCACGUGGACGCAGGCCUAAGGGCAGUGGGUUUCUGAUGCCACAAUCGGAUGUCGCUGUAGCUGCCACGUGGACGCUGAUUCAAGUGGGCAAGGCCGGGCGCUGGGAGACAAGCUCGGAUUGUGGCCGUAAUCAGGGGAGAGAGGAGGCCGCCGCCGGAGCAGGGGCAGCGGACCGAGAAGCGGGCAGGGCCUGGGAGAGGCUGAGUUAAAGCCGGGCUCGGGCUGGGGGCUGAGAAGCGCGGGGCGAGAGGCGCGUGGGGCUGUCCUGACCUUCGCACAGCGGUGCCCAGACGGAGCGGCCUCCAGGGUGAAGUGAGGCCUCCCUGUCUGGUCCUCUGGUCUCAGGUCAGGGCUCCCAGGCUGCAGCCAGUGUUGCUGGCCUGGCGGGGGGGCGGGUAGGAGGGAGGAGGCCACACCCCAGGAGGCUUUUCUGGAGUGGUUUGCGGCUCACGUGCCCAGGGACUUUGCCCCCAGGGUUUUCCAGCUGCUAAAUGCGGUUCUUUUCCAAGAAUCUUCCUUAGGUCGGCGUCUGACAGCAGAAGGCGACACGGACACCCUUCCUUCCUUCCGUUGUCUUCAAACCCUUCCGUCCAGAGUAAGGAGACUGGAGUUCAGAGAGGCUGAGCCACUGGUUGAAGGCCGCACAGCCCCAAAGUUCCUAAGCUAGAAUCUGAGCCAGGGUCUGCCUGGCCCCGUCCAGGAUCUGGGGUGCCCGACGUCGGAGAGGCGGAUUUCUUGGUGCGGCGGGCCUGCUGGGAGGAGCGGGGAGUUUCUCCAGACAGAGGUGGUGCCCUGGAGCUUGCCUUCCUUUGCUUGGCUGUGUGGUGUAUGUGGUUGCUUUGCUGUACUUUUAAGAUCUAUUGAUGGAGGGAAGACACAAGGACGGAAUGUUUUAUCGUCGUUUUUAUUUGAUUCAUCCCAGUACUAACGGUUGUAAACUGUAAAGAGAAGAGAACUGGUCCAUGGCCCUCUAUUUCACCUAGUUCUGGCCGUGCUUGGUGCCUGGCGCAGGGAUGCAGGGCUGGAACAUCAGGGACCAUCUGUCUUCAUGUGGGAAGCUGAGAUUUCCAGAGAAACCCAUUAAUUCCGAGGAAUGCAGGCCCUGAAAGGCAGCAUAGCAGAGCCGUGAAGAGGGGAGGUUCUGGGGCACGAAAGACCUGGGAAGAUUCUGCUUUGUCACUUUACAAGCUGCGUGAGCUUGGGACAAAUGGAGGGAUUUGGAAAACUGUUUUGAGGGGGAGAAAUGGAAUCGAUGGCAAGGAUUUUCAACCACAGACCCGAAAACAGGAAGACCCUGAUUUUUGGGCGGCAGCUCUGUCCACCGAUUCAGCGAGAGAGCGGUCACCGAGCUACCUGUGUCCCCUGCGCAUGCGGCUCAGGAGGCAGGCUGAGGCAGAGCCUGAACUCGUAACGUGGUGAUGCUGCUCUCCGGGGGUCUGGCGCCCAGCAGGUACUGAAUGCACGUGUUCUGUUUGUUUGUUUGUUUUUGGUUUUCAAGGCUGUGGCCUCAGCAAGGGGAAGUUCCUGGGCCAGGGAUCGAACCUGUGCCGCAGCAGAGACAACACCAGAUCCUCAUCGACCCUGGUGUCACUGAACUGAGCUGUGCGGAGCCAAAGGGGCUUGGAGUGAACCAGGCGAGUGAACGCAAGAUCAAGGGCCGACUUCUCUGAACCUCUCCAGGGAGGUGGUGAGAGGGGCAGUGUCCGGGGCACCCGUGGGAGAGGGCUGGUUGGCCGAGAGCAGGGGAGGAAGCAGCCAUGGUCCACAGAGGGAAGAGCGCCCAGAGUCCCCGCAAACUGGAGGGCUUCCCUCCCCUGCUUCUCCAAGCAUCUUUCACCGCCUGGAAAAGGAGCCGUCAGCCUUUUCUCACCUGAUGCCCGCAGGCUUUUCCUCAUUCUGCGAGGUGAGGAAGCCGGGAUUCUUCGGGGAACAGCGUGGAUUCCCCAGCUCUGUCCUUGGGGGAAUUCGCAGGAGCCGUGGAAGGCGGUCUGCACUGGGAGCUCGGCAAGGACUGCACCUUAUUCAUCUUGGAAGUCUUCCACAGCAUCUAAUACAGUGAUUGGUUUUUUAUUAAGGGACAUGAACCAGAGUCUCCAUUCCAUUUCAUUUGGGCUUUGGCACUUCUUAUUGAAGAAAUCCAGGAACAAUGGACAGAGCCUGAUCAAGAAAGUCCAGCAUUCAUCUACUCCUUGAAAAGAUCACCAUAUUCAAGAGCAGUGAGGGCCGGCCACACACAGCUGCUUCAGGAAAUGCAGAUGGCCCGUGUUAUCAUCAGCUACGUGUUUAGAAAAGAGCCACACUUCAACCUGAAUUCAGUUUUAAUCUGUUUCCUUCUUGAGAGUAUAAUCUGCGAAAAAAUUGCCAACCUACUCACAACCGAAUUUCAGAUCUUCAACAUGGUAGAGGGCGAGAAAUGGAAUUCUUGGAAUUCUGCUGUCACCCUUAUUCUGUGAGAGCGAAUAUACACCCACCUCGCCAGUCGUGUCACUGACCUUUCUCCCCCUCUUUGCGGCUCAUGGUUUUCUGUUUCUGCAGACAUGGUUUGGCUUGUGGCCACAUCCACAUACGAACUCCACCACCUAAUGCCUCCGUGGGGUCCUGCCUCCCAGACACUGUGGUUCUAAGAUUGUAUCUUCCCAGAGGUGCGGACUCAAACUACCUUCUACGCAGAAGUACUAAAAGCACAUGCAGGAGUGGAGGCAGGGGGUCGGUGGAUAUUAUUCCUACACACGGGGGUGAGGGGGCAACGUCGGGCAGGGCUGCGUCUGGCUGUGAGCAGCCUGUGAGUCCGCAGGGGCACCUCGCUGGGCUGCAGCUUCCAGGGCGUUUAAUCACAGCGUCACAUCAGUUUCCUCCACCGAGAGCUGCCCAGCGCAUGGAAUCAGCUCCGCCUGUCAAGCCACCCCACCCGCUCCGCAUCCAGGGGGCGAGCCCAGGAGCCAGGCCAGCACUGGGAAGAGCGACCGUCCUGGUGACCUCAGGCAGUGGUUCUUCCUGCAGCACCACACCGGCGUUACCUGGGCACUCCUCAGAAACGCCAAUCCCUGGCCCACCUCUGUCUCCUGGGGACCCAGAGGUGGGCCCACAAGUUUGAGAAUCCACGCUCUAGCUCAAAUAGGUCAGAAUCUUCCACUUUCUUUUGUUUUCCUCCACGUUUUUAUAUCCCUUUUGACUCCUCUAAUAUUUCCUCAACCAUGGAUUCCCUCUCCAAACACCUUUGAACGGUCCUUGGCCGAGGGCACAGCCAUGAGGGCCGUGUGCACCAAGGCUUCGCCACGGGCUCGGUGGCGGGGGCUUGAUGUGCAGAGUUGCACAAUUUCUGUGGCAGAGAGGCACCUCCUAUGGCAGCAUGCAGGCUGUUCCCACACGACAUCUCUGAACGUCAAGGCAAGAGGAGGGGUGCCCAAUCGCGCUCCAGAGGGGCGGGAGUGGCAUCAACAGCCUACAGUAGGGACCGAUAACCCCGUGGGUAUAUGGAACUCACUGGGGACUGAGAUCGGGUUUACGUGCAAAGCUGGAGUCCUUAUUUGCAGGCCAUUUACUGAAUCAUUGAGUACUUUUGAUCAUUCAGGCGGCUGAAAUAUUUAGUAGAGAGCCUCGAAGAUCACUGGAAAUAUUCAAAAUCAGUUUACAACCGGCAUUUCGGGGAUGGCACACAUGUAAUAGAUUCAAAACCACAGCCGUCUCUGGUGCCCUUCCUUUCAUGCCUGAUCAAAUUACUUUACUGGGGCGGAUGUAAGACCCGAAACAACACGGACUUUGUCUUGUUCGGCAUUAUGUCGUUAUUACUUACGCUCAGCUCUGCCCCCCAAAUGCUUGUUAAAUUGAUAAACUAGUAGUUGGGGGGUAGUACUCAGGCUGCAGAGGAGGGGGCUUAAGCCACAGACCUGGCUUUCUCACAGUUCUGCAGGCCGGAAGUCCAAGGUCAAGGUGUCACCGGGUUGUGUGUCUUCUGAGGCCUCUCUCCUCGGCUGGGGACGGCCACCUUCUUGCUGUUUCUGCGACCCAAUCUCCAGUUCCUGCAAGGGCACCAGCGGGGUCAGGGCCAUCCUAACAGCUUCAUUUAAUGUGACGUCUUGGGAGUCCCAAUCCCCAAAUUCUGAAGUACUAAGGGUCAGGUCCUUACCACGUGAGUUCGAGGGGAUUCAAUUCGUCCAGAACAAGUACAAUCAGAGCUUUUCUGUCUUAAGGCUCGACUAGCUCAAUUAAAAAAAAAUCAAAACCAUAUGCCAUGGGUGUGGCCCCCAAAAGACAAACAAACAAACCAACAAGCAAACAAACAAAUAAAUAAAAAUUUAAAAAACGUCAAAACCCAAAGAAAACCUCCCAGUUGCAGAUGCACAGUCUAUCAGACUUUCUCCUCCCUACUCGCCUUGAUCGAUUCAUCAGGAAGUGGAUACAAUCCCAUCGAACGAGUGACGCACUGAUUUGAUGACUUGCUCCUCCCCCGUCUCCUCCUGACGCAGUCCUGGCACAGGAGCUUUGGUUCCCGCCAAAUGAGUUAGAAGAACGGGCGAGACGGAAAUGGAAUUAGCAUGCAGACAGAGGCCAACCAGUCCCUGGAACUUGAUCACGUAUAUGUGUAUGUGUGUAUAUUUAUGUGUGUGGGGGCUGUGGAAAUAAGGGCUGAGAAUUUUAUGCAGCACAUCCUGGCAUUUGAGGGAAGACACCUUUGAAGAGGUUCACCUGUGAAGUAAAGACUCAGCUCUCCC